rnacentral:rRNA from 1 species
AUUGAACGCUGGCGGCAGGCCUAACACAUGCAAGUCGAACGAGUGGCGGACGGGUGAGUAAUGUCUGGGAAACCGCCCGAUGGAGGGGGAUAACUACUGGAAACGGUAGCUAAUACCGCAUACCAUCGGAUGUGCCCAGAUGGGCGUAGCUUGUUGGUGAGGUAACGGCGCACCUAGGCUACGAUCCCUAGCUGGUCUGAGAGGAUGAGCAGCCACACUGGAACGUAGACACGGUCCAGACUCCGACGGGAGGCAGCAGUGGGGAAUAUUGCACAAUGGGCGCAAGCCUGAUGCAGCCAUGCCGCGUGUAUGAAGAAGGUCUUCGGAUUGUAAAGUACUUUCAGCAGGGAGGCGUUACCCGCUGAAGAAGCACCGGCUAACUCCGUGCCAGCAGCCGCGGUAAUUC